rnacentral:rRNA from 1 species
AUGGUUUCUUCAACCGUUGAUCCUGAUGCUGCUGGAUACGCUGAAAGAGCAAACAAAGCCAAGAAGCCAGUCAAGAUUAGUGCCCGAAGCCUUGCAAAGCCGGAAAGAAACGAGGUGAUGAAAGCUGCAGCAAAAGCUCGGGCAUCAUCCUCUAUUCUCCGACCAAUAGAUGCCCGCCAUGGCAAUGAAGCUGAUAUUAGCUCCAGUGGCAAUGCCAAUGUCAGGAGUAGCAUGAGUGUUGACUACAGUGCUACAAAGGAAUCGAGGAGUGAGAUGCUGCUGUUCCCUCUACGGAACUUGUAUCCGCAGAGUCUUGCCAGUUACGAUGACUAUGAGACUGGCACACAGACUGCAAACAGUUUAAACAGCCCGGUCCACAUCCACAAGUUUGCCCCUCAUGCUCAAUUUCGUGUAGCACCUCAUCCAGCUCCACCUCCUAAAAGGCCUGCGCUAGGGAUUACAAGGCCACAUGUUCCUGCCACACAUAUAAGUAACAACCCAAUGUUCCAGUCAGCCACAUCAUAUGUCAGGGAGAACCGAAGAGCCUCUGUUGUCUGGGAUCAAGAGGCUGGUCGGUACGUGUCAGUGCCCAUGCAAACAACAAGAACAGGGCCCGGUGUUGAGCUGCCUGCAAGAAACCCAAGUUUCUUGGUGAAUCCAAGUGGUGAACCAGGCAACCAUGGGAGAAAUCUUGCACCUGCCAACACAACUUCAUCAGCGAUUCCUUCGGGGCAGCUGUCCGAGAGGUUGACGUACACAGGCCAAUCAAUAUUCUUUGGCGGGCCAAUCCUGAGCACCACUGGCAUAAAUGAAGAAAGGAAUGAGGCGGGCACAAGAGUGCGUCCUGAGACAAGCAGAGAUCCCAACUCCCACCAGCGUGACAUCCGUGGUGAGAAGGCUCGGACAGGCUCCUUCCCGUUGUAUGAGCCUAGGAAUUUCUAG